rnacentral:rRNA from 1 species
UACGUAGGGUGCGAGCGUUGUCCGGAAUUAUUGGGCGUAAAGAGCUCGUAGGCGGUGUGUCGCGUCGGUCGUGAAGACUUUCAGCUUAACUGGGAGCUUGCGGUCGAUACGGGCAUCACUGGAGUUCGGCAGGGGAGACUGGAAUUCCUGGUGUAGCGGUGGAAAUGCGCAGAUAUCAGGAGGAACACCGGUGGCGAAGGCGGGUCUCUGGGCCGAUACUGACGCUGGAGGAGCGAAAGCGUGGGGAGCGAACAGG